ensembl:lncRNA
UUAUGGGGUCACAAAUAGUCAUACACGACUGAGCAACUGAACUGAACUGAACUGAACAACAAAGCCCUGGAAGCGGAGACUCUUCUUUACCUCUAUGCAAACUUAAGCAUUAGCAGGAGUGGUAGACAUUAGUGGUAUACUAAUUAACAGGUUCAGUGUCAUCACUUAAAAGAUCUUAGGAACGAACUAGAGAGUUUCUUCUUGUUAAAAUGUUGAAUCCCCUUUAAGGUAGUAAACAUUAAAUGAAUUUAAUUUCUCUUGCCAUUGGUCAAGAGAAGUUGAGUAUUUCAUUAGCUGCAUUGAUAUGGCAAAACCCAGCAGAAUAAAAUCACCCUGUUUGUGUAUAUGGAAGGGGAGUCAGAGAGGAGGGUGUAUUUUAACCUAGAAAUGCCUAGAGGAAUUGUUUCUUCUAGAACUAAGGAACUCCUAUACCAUGCAUCCCAGUGAGACAUAUGUUUGCAAAGACAAACCCCAAGAUCACAGUUAAACCUAAAAUAAGAUCAUAAACUUCUAGGAUGUGUCAUUGAUCUCCUUCUCUCUAAUACUCUAGGUUAGUAAGAACUCAAGAAAUCUUUCUUGCUCUCAAAGUUAUGCAACAGAGAAAACCUGAACAAUAAACUCUGGUGUAAAUAACUAUACUUCUUUCUUCUGCCCACCUUGAACAAAUGAAGACAAUGGAAGUAUUAAUUCAGCACAUCUUCCAAAGGAAAGUGCUCUAAAUCCAAGAAGAAGCCUGAACUUCCUUCAGAAAAGGAUAAGUCAGAUAUCCACAAGGAUUACUCUAACGGGUUGCAAAGAGUCAGACACGACUGAGUAACUGAACUGAACUGAAGAUUUUAUUGUCUCCCUUGACAGAAAGAAGACAAUGGGAGUUGCCUGACAAGCAUGAAAUUUGAUAAUUGGUCAGCUCUUUCAUCCUCAGAAGCAAGAGUUGAUAACUAUUCAGAGAGAACAAAUGCUUCAUCAGUUACAUCUGAAGGAAAUGAAGAGUACUUUGAAGACAGCGUUCCACCACCAGAUGAACCGCCACGGGAAAGUACCAGUGAAAGUAGAUUUCGAGUAAGUCACUUUAGUGAAAGUCAUAUGACAUCUUCAAAUGGGACUAGCUCAUCAUCUUUGUCACUAUUUCACUCGGAAGUACAGGAAAUUUUGCUAAGGUGUAGCGGGUGCCCUAAAAAUGAACGCGAAACAAUACAGUUUUCAUCAAAGAAAUUAUUUUCCAUAAUGAAAAGUAACAGAAGUAAAAACAGGACAUUUUCUUCUGACUUUAACUUUUCAAGAACUUCGAGAAUCAUUAUAGAAAGUGAAGAUCUAGAUGUGGCACCAUGCCCUCCUGCCCAUCUGUUUCUUUCUAGAGACCAAGUCCGACUUCUGGAAGAAAAUGUGAGAAAUCAAAGCCCUCCAAAAUCCAAAGCCACAUUAGAGAAUAAAACUACCACCUCUCUGUCCUCAACCUCUCUAGAGCCCUUGAUUCAGAAUCAACAUUCUGCUACAAAGGACCUUUCUCCCCAAGCACAAGCUUCUUUUUCCAGACAAAAGGCUACUCAGAAUCAAGGAUUUUCCAAAGCCCAAUUUAUUGGUCAAGCCCACCAAUUUUUUAACAAUCAGUCAUCAGUCAACAGGCAGCCUGAGAGUGAGGCCAGAUACUUUGCUCUGCCUCAAGAUUUGGUGAGGGAAUCACUUACUAGCCGCACCCAAGACUCCUUCCAGACUGCAGACAUGGAUGGGUGCCAACAUCUGGUCCAAAUUCCACAGUCUGCUGAGACUCAAGAUCCAGUCAAGGGCCUAGGGUCUGAUACAAAACACUCAGAUGAGGCCCAGGAUUCUGUCUGGUCUGAAGAGUCAAACAAGAUUAAAUAUUCUAUCCCAGGGCAAGACACUAUUUUAAAGGAUGCCAGACAUCUGGUUUUACCUCCGAGCCCAAAUUCAGUUGAUAAAGUGAUGCCACAACAAGAGCAUGUUAAGAGUGAAGGCCAGAAACAAAUUGCUUCCUCAACAUUAAACGAGUCUCCUUCAUAUGGCUCACUGCCUCUCAUGACCAGGCAGAAAAAGAGAAGAAAAACCUCACACAGUAACAGUGAACUUAGCCUCAAAGAUCUGCCUCAGAAGUCAAAGAAAACACCAGUUUCACAGAUACUUCAGACCACAGCAUGUCACACUUCAGAGUGCAGCCAGUUAAGAUAUGAGCAUAAAACUAAGAAGAAAGAGUUACAUCAAAGAAAAGGUGUAUCAGGUAUAGCAUUGCAUUUUACGUAUGCUUUCAAGCUUGUCCCUCCUUAUAUUAGGAAGUAUUACAGGAAAAGACAAGCAAAAUUCACUCCACGUUUAACAGAAUGUAGAGAUUUUCUGCCGAAACCAGAUCAGUCACUAUGUGCAGAGAAAGUUAAUUACAUAGGGUCUGUUGAGGAAGAAGGAACCAGGGGGAGUACUGAAAAUGAAGAGCAGCAUGGCAGAAACAAUAAAGAACCAGANNNNNNNNNNNNNNNNNNNNNNNNNNNNNNNNNNNNNNNNNNNNNNNNNNNNNNNNNNNNNNNNNNNNNNNNNNNNNNNNNNNNNNNNNNNNNNNNNNNAGUACUGAAAAUGAAGAGCAGCAUGGCAGAAACAAUAAAGAACCAGAAAACAUUUCACAAGAAAUUCCAU